rnacentral:rRNA from 1 species
ACGAACGCUGGCGGCAUGCCUAACACAUGCAAGUCGAACGAGACCUUCGGGUCUAGUGGCGCACGGGUGCGUAACGCGUGGGAACCUGCCUUUAGGUUCGGAAUAACUCAGAGAAAUUUGAGCUAAUACCGGAUAAUGUCUUCGGACCAAAGAUUUAUCGCCUUUAGAUGGGCCCGCGUAGGAUUAGCUAGUUGGUGGGGUAAGGGCCUACCAAGGCGACGAUCCUUAGCUGGUCUGAGAGGAUGAUCAGCCACACUGGGACUGAGACACGGCCCAGACUCCUACGGGAGGCAGCAGUGGGGAAUAUUGGACAAUGGGCGAAAGCCUGAUCCAGCAAUGCCGCGUGAGUGAUGAAGGCCUUAGGGUUGUAAAGCUCUUUUACCAGGGAUGAUAAUGACAGUACCUGGAGAAUAAGCUCCGGCUAACUCCGU